UACAGAGGGGGCGAGCGUUGUUCGGAAUUACUGGGCGUAAAGGGCGCGUAGGCGCCUGCUAUGUCGAACGUGAAAUCCCCGGGCUCAACCCGGGAACUGCGUCCGAAACUGGCAGGCUUGAAUCCGGGAGAGGGAUGUGGAAUUCCAGGUGUAGCGGUGAAAUGCGUAGAUAUCUGGAGGAACACCGGUGGCGAAGGCGGC
rnacentral:rRNA from 1 species